CCUACGGGGGGCUGCAGUGGGGAAUAUUGGGCAAUGGGCGCAAGCCUGACCCAGCAACGCCGCGUGAAGGAAGAAGGCCCUCGGGUUGUAAACUUCUUUUAUCAGGGACGAAACAAAUGACGGUACCUGAUGAAUAAGCCACGGCUAACUACGUGCCAGCAGCCGCGGUAAUACGUAGGGGGCAAGCGUUAUCCGGAUUUACUGGGUGUAAAGGGAGCGUAGGCGGCGAUGCAAGUCAGAAGUGAAAGCCCGGGGCUCAACUCCGGGACUGCUUUUGAAACUGUAUGGCUAGAUUGCAGGAGAGGCAAGUGGAAUUCCUAGUGUAGCGGUGAAAUGCGUAGAUAUUAGGAGGAACACCAGUGGCGAAGGCGGCUUGCUGGACUGUAAAUGACGCUGAGGCUCGAAAGCGUGGGGAGCAAACAGGAUUAGAUACCCCAGUAGUC
rnacentral:rRNA from 1 species